GAUGAACGCUGGCGGCGUGCCUAAUACAUGCAAGUCGAGCGAACAGACGAGGAGCUUGCUCCUCUGACGUUAGCGGCGGACGGGUGAGUAACACGUGGAUACCCUACCUAUAAGACUGGGAUAACUUCGGGAAACCGGAGCUAAUACCGGAUAAUAUAUUGAACCGCAUGGUUCAAUAAUGAAAGACGGUUUUGCUGUCACUUAUAGAUGGAUCCGCGCCGCAUUAGCUAGUUGGUAAGGUAACGGCUUACCAAGGCAACGAUGCGUAGCCGACCUGAGAGGGUGAUCGGCCACACUGGAACUGAGACACGGUCCAGACUCCUACGGGAGGCAGCAGUAGGGAAUCUUCCGCAAUGGGCGAAAGCCUGACGGAGCAACGCCGCGUGAGUGAUGAAGGUCUUCGGAUCGUAAAACUCUGUUAUUAGGGAAGAACAAAUGUGUAAGUAACUAUGCACGGCUUGACGGUACCUAAUCAGAAAGCCACGGCUAACUACGUG
rnacentral:rRNA from 1 species